UACGUAGGGGGCAAGCGUUGUCCGGAAUUAUUGGGCGUAAAGAGCUCGUAGGCGGUUUGUCGCGUCUGCCGUGAAAGUCCGGGGCUCAACUCCGGAUCUGCGGUGGGUACGGGCAGACUAGAGUGAUGUAGGGGAGACUGGAAUUCCUGGUGUAGCGGUGAAAUGCGCAGAUAUCAGGAGGAACACCGAUGGCGAGGGCAGGUCUCUGGGCAUUAACUGACGCUGAGGAGCGAAAGCAUGGGGAGCGAACAGG
rnacentral:rRNA from 1 species